GCUCAGAUGGUGGCGCCUGGGGGUGGAGGGGACCCUGCAGAAGCUCGCGCUGCGCCGGAAGAAGGCGCUGAACGCCCAGGAGAUGGCGCCGGACUGGCUGCGCAGACGGCGGGCGGCGCCAUCGACCCCGCCGUGUUCAAAGAUCCGGCGUGGGCGGGGCUGCGAGCUCGAUGACCCCAAACACUUUGCUUUCCUCCCCCUGCCCUUGUUGGAGUCCCGGAGGCCCAGGGCAGAGUUGGGUCUUGAGGGAGGCGACCACGCCCGCCCGCUGUCGCUGAGCCGCCUGGCCUGGGCGAGGAGGGCUCCCUGCGCACGGGUCUGUCUCUGCAGGAUCCCAGUGGCCCUGCUGAUGCUGCACGUGGCGCCCCUCGCCGUCCUCCAGAUGCUCCGUCCGUGUGCCGAGCAGAGGCUGCCGAGCGUGCCCCAGGCCCCUGCGGCUGUGUCUGCCCCCAUCGAGCCUGCCUGAGUCAAGAGGUCAGAGUUGGGCCCGGUGCUCCCCGCCCGCCCCUGUGGCCCGGGCAGCUAGGUGGCAGGGGUAGGGAGGGGGCAGCGCCGGGCACGGGGUGGCCUUGGCCCUCAGUGGACAGGCCUUUCCGUCCGUCUUGUCCCAGGGCCCGCUGGGCCAUCCAAGGGCUGGCCCCUUGGGCUCCAGUUGCCAGCUUCGGCCUGGCUGCGCCCUGCAGAGAGAACCUGCGGAUCGGGUGGACGCAGAGCGGGUGCCCCCGGGAGGCCGAGUAGGCUGGGCCUCAUCUGGGACAUUUGCUGCCCCAGCCUCUCCUCCCCUCUGCACUCCUGCCUUCGUUCCACAAACCCGGGAAUAAGACUGCUUUGGUGCCUGUGCUCAUAGUUUAUCUGGCCUCAGGGAGCUGGGCAGGCAGAGGCCUUCCUGCCACCCCCUCACCUGUACUCCACUGGCCCCAAGUACUGCUCUGGAGUCUGGCCAGAUGAGCUUCCCUCCUCGGGUGGUGGGGCGUGGGAUGGGAGUGAACGUGGCAGCCCCUGGCUGCCCUGGACACUCAGGGUGCAGAGGCCGGAGUGGCAGAGCACUGGGCUCAGGUGUCAGGGGCCUCCUCACUCUCGAGGGCCAUGACUGGGGCAUGAACAGGUGCUGGUGACAAGGUGUCAUGGUGCAGCUCCAACUGCCUCCUCCCCAUGUGUCCCUUCUGCUCCCAGGUGCUAUCAGAAACCCUCUGACUUGCAGCCGAACCCCCUGGCUGGCUGCUUGGCCAGAAGCAUGGGGCUCUCUCAGACACCCGGAGAAGGGCUGACCUGUGGGUGGAGGACAGGCUGGGCCACUGUGGGUGGGAGAGCCAGGGCCCUGGGUCCCCACGUCCCCUGUCCUGUGCGGCCCUGGGUACUCGAGUGCAGGCCUCCUCACUGACCCAUGCUCUGUCUGCUCUCUCUGUGUCUCUCUGACCUCCAGGGCCUCUUUCUGCCAAGAACUGGAGCCUCCGCAGGCCCCUCCUUUUCCUGGGCCCCGGGCCUGCAGCCUCUGCGGUUCUGCUCCACGGCCCCACUGCCCUGCACUUGCCUCUCUCCUGGGCCCCUGGGUCCCUCCAGUUCUCUUGCUGCCUGUUCUCUCCUUUUACAGGUUGUGUUUAUUGGUUUAUCUCUGGGGGUUGGUGCCCUCUCUUGUUUCCAUGGAAACUGCCGUGGUCCCCAGAAAACCAGAGCAGCUUCGAGCAGCAAGGGCAGGACCCUGUGGGCCAUCCCUGCCAUCAGCUUAGAGACCAAGGACAGGAUUUCAGGGCUCGCUUUAUUAGAGACAACCUGCAGUCCUUCUGGAACAGGAUCAACACCCGCACCCCCUGGAGGCUAACUCAGCUGGAGAGGGGGAAGCAGAAGACCCCGGAAGCACCGAGGGGGAAUGCUUGUCAUGGGGGGACGUGGGUCACUGAGGAAAGAAAUUCAGUGGAGUGCUCCCUGUUGAAGUUCAGGAAACUACGUCUUAAAAGAUGUCCCUCCAGGACGUGGGGGAUGAACGUGGUGCGCGGAAGCCAUGGGCUUCUCAUGCAGCUUCGCUGUGCGAUGCGGGAGCCACAGGCCCCAGGCUGGUAUGGUGAGAGGCACUGGGCAUGUGGGCACCCGCCAUGUGCCUGGGUGCAGAGGGCUGGGCGCAGAGGGAACAUCACACCUCACGCGUGAUUCUUAUACUGAUCCCAUGUUGAAGUGAUAAUAUGUUGGAUAUUUGGGGUUAAUUAAAACAGAUUAUUUAAAUUAA